CUGGCCAGUUUUAAUAUACUCACACAGGUGUUUUCAAUUACUCUGGCUGAUUAGAGCUUGUUGCCAGUGCAACAGAAGUAAAAGGAGAGUGGUAGAGAUGUCAUUCGAGCACAGCCACGGCCACACAUGCCUGAGAACAGCUCUAAUCAGUUCAGCACUAUGUGGGGGCUGAGGGUCUCGCUGUCUGUGACCUGCUGUCUGUUACAAACAAGCUUCAUCCUCUCAUGCACCGGUUGACAAAGUGAGGUUCAGGGACCCCGAGGCACCCUCCAGUGAAACAAGCCACGCUCAUCAUCAUCAACCCCCCUUCAGAGUUUGCUGACAUGAUCAGGUGCACUCUUUCUUCAUGUCGAAAAAUAAAAUAAAAAACAGAAUGACUCACAAGCUGAGAUCAGAAA